UGGGCAAUAGUUUAAUUGGUAGAACGUCCGUUUUUAACGGAAAGUCCGGGUUCAAGUCUCGGUUGUCCAACGA
rnacentral:tRNA from 5 species